rnacentral:rRNA from 1 species
UACAGAGGUCCCGAGCGUUGUUCGGAUUCCCUGGGCGUAAAGGGUGCGCAGGUGGGUUGGCAAGUUUGAUGUGAAAGCCCCGGGCUUAACCCGGGAAUGGCAUUGAAUACUGCUGAUCUGGAGGAUUGGAGGGGGGACUGGAAUUCUUGGUGUAGCAGUGAAAUGCGUAGAUAUCAAGAGGAACACCAGUGGCGAAGGCGAGUCCCUGGACAAUACCUGACACUGAGGCACGAAAGCUAGGGGAGCAAACAGG